UACGUAGGGGGCAAGCGUUGUCCGGAUUUAUUGGGCGUAAAGAGCGUGUAGGCGGCUUCACAGGUCCGCUGUGAAAACUCGAGGCUCAACCUCGAGCUGUCGGUGGAAACCGUGUGGCUAGAGUCCGGAAGAGGAGAGUGGAAUUCCCGGUGUAGCGGUGAAAUGCGCAGAUAUCGGGAAGAACACCCGUGGCGAAGGCGGCCUGCUGGGCAGUAGCUGACGCUGAGGCGCGACAGCGUGGGGAGCAAACAGGG
rnacentral:rRNA from 1 species